rnacentral:rRNA from 1 species
UGCCAGCCGCCGCGGUAAUACGUAGGUGGCAAGCGUUGUCCGGAAUUACUGGGUGUAAAGGGAGCGUAGGCGGGAAUGCGAGUUGAAUGUUUAAACUAUCGGCUCAACCGGUAGUCGCGUUCAAAACUGCAUUUCUUGAGUGGAGUAGAGGCAGGCGGAAUUCCUAGUGUAGCGGUGAAAUGCGUAGAUAUUAGGAGGAACACCAGUGGCGAAGGCGGCCUGCUGGGCUCUAACUGACGCUGAGGCUCGAAAGCGUGGGUAGCAAAUAGGAUUAGAUA